rnacentral:tRNA from 1 species
CGCGGAGUAGUAGCAGUGGUAGCUCGUCAGGCUCAUAACCUGGAGGUCGGUGGUUCGAGUCCACCCUCCGCAA